AGCGCACUGGUGUAACGGUAGCACAUCGCACUUUGACUGCGUCAGUAGACAUUCGAGUUGUCUGUGCGCUG
rnacentral:tRNA from 1 species